rnacentral:misc_RNA from 1 species
GAUGAAGAACGUAGCGAAAUGCGAUAAGUAAUGUGAAUUGCAGAAUUCAGUGAAUCAUCGAAUCUUUGAACGCACAUUGCGCCCUUUGGUAUUCCAAAGGGCAUGCCUGUUCGAGCGUCAUUUGUACCCUCAAGCUUUGCUUGGUGUUGGGCGUCUUGUCUCCAGUCCGCUGGAGACUCGCCUUAAAGUCAUUGGCAGCCGGCCUACUGGUUUCGGAGCGCAGCACAAGUCGCACUCUUUUCCAGCCAAGGUCAGCGUCCAACAAGCCUUUUUUCAACUUUUGACCUCGGAUCAGGUAGGGAUACCCGCUGAACUUAAGCAUAUCAAUAAGCGGAGGA